AGUGAACGCUGGCGGUAGGCCUAACACAUGCAAGUCGAACGGCAGCACAGUAAGAGCUUGCUCUUACGGGUGGCGAGUGGCGGACGGGUGAGGAAUACAUCGGAAUCUACUUUUUCGUGGGGGAUAACGCAGGGAAACUUACGCUAAUACCGCAUACGACCUACGGGUGAAAGCAGGGGAUCUUCGGACCUUGCGCGAUUGAAUGAGCCGAUGUCGGAUUAGCUAGUUGGCGGGGUAAAGGCCCACCAAGGCGACGAUCCGUAGCUGGUCUGAGAGGAUGAUCAGCCACACUGGAACUGAGACACGGUCCAGACUCCUACGGGAGGCAGCAGUGGGGAAUAUUGGACAAUGGGCGCAAGCCUGAUCCAGCCAUACCGCGUGGGUGAAGAAGGCCUUCGGGUUGUAAAGCCCUUUUGUUGGGAAAGAAAAGCAGCAGGUUAAUACCCCGCUGUUCUGACGGUACCCAAAGAAUAAGCAUCGGCUAACUUCGUG
rnacentral:rRNA from 1 species